GACGAACGCUGGCGGCGUGCUUAACACAUGCAAGUCGAACGGAAAGGCCCUGCUUUUGUGGGGUGCUCGAGUGGCGAACGGGUGAGUAACACGUGAGUAACCUGCCCUUGACUUUGGGAUAACUUCAGGAAACUGGGGCUAAUACCGGAUAGGAGCUCCUGCUGCAUGGUGGGGGUUGGAAAGUUUCGGCGGUUGGGGAUGGACUCGCGGCUUAUCAGCUUGUUGGUGGGGUAGUGGCUUACCAAGGCUUUGACGGGUAGCCGGCCUGAGAGGGUGACCGGCCACAUUGGGACUGAGAUACGGCCCAGACUCCUACGGGAGGCAGCAGUGAGGAAUAUUGCACAAUGGGCGGAAGCCUGAUGCAGCAAUGCCGCGUGCGGGAUGACGGCCUUCGGGUUGUAAACCGCUUUCGCCUGUGACGAAGCGUGAGUGACGGUAAUGGGUAAAGAAGCACCGGCUAACUACGUG
rnacentral:rRNA from 1 species